rnacentral:rRNA from 1 species
GAUGAACGCUAGCGACAGGCUUAACACAUGCAAGUCGAGGGGCAGCGAGAAAGUGCUUGCACUUUUGUCGGCGACCGGCGCACGGGUGAGUAACGCGUAUCCAACCUUCCCCUUACUCAGGAAUAGCCCGUUGAAAGACGGAUUAAUGCCUGAUGUUCUCUAUUUCCGGCAUCGGUAAUAGAGCAAAGAUUCAUCGGUAAGGGAUGGGGAUGCGUAUGAUUAGCUUGUUGGCGGGGUAACGGCCCACCAAGGCAACGAUCAUUAGGGGUUCUGAGAGGAAGGUCCCCCACACUGGAACUGAGACACGGUCCAGACUCCUACGGGAGGCAGCAGUGAGGAAUAUUGGUCAAUGGUCUGACGACUGAACCAGCCAUGCCGCGUGAAGGUGACGGCCCUAUGGGUCUUAAACUCUUUNUAAGGGAGCAAUAAGUUCUAACGUGUAGAGCGAUGAGAGUACCUUACGAAUAAGCAUCGGCUAACUCCGUGCCAGCAG